CUGACAUUAGAUACCCGCGUAGUCCAGGGUGUAAACGCUGCAGACUUGGUGUUGGGAACCCUUCGGGGGUGCUCAGUGCCGGAGAGAAGUUGUUAAGUCUGCUACUUGGGGAGUACGUCCGCAAGGAUGAAACUUAAAGGAAUUGGCGGGGAGCACCGCAACGGGAGGAGCGUGCGGUUUAAUUGGACUCAACGCCGGAAAUCUCACCGGAUAGGACAGACAUAUGAUAGUCGGGCUGAAGACUCUACUUGAUGAUCUG
rnacentral:rRNA from 1 species